rnacentral:rRNA from 1 species
ACACGGCCCAAACUCCUACGGGAGGCAGCAGUGGGGAAUAUUGCACAAUGGGCGGAAGCCUGAUGCAGCGACGCCGCGUGAGUGAAGAAGUAUCUCGGUAUGUAAAGCUCUAUCAGCAGGGAAGAAAAUGACGGUACCUGACUAAGAAGCCCCGGCUAACUACGUGCCAGCAGCCGCGGUAAUACGUAGGGGGCAAGCGUUAUCCGGAUUUACUGGGUGUAAAGGGAGCGUAGACGGCGACGCAAGUCUGGAGUGAAAGCCCGGGGCCCAACCCCGGGACUGCUUUGGAAACUGUGCUGCUGGAGUGCAGGAGAGGUAAGUGGAUUCCUAGUGUAGCGGUGAAUGCGUAGAUAUUAGGAGGACACCAGUGCGUAGCGGCUUACUGGACUGUAACUGACGUUGAGGCUCGAAGCGUGGGGAGCAAACAGG